UCAGAAUAAAAGUUGACAGCAAAUAAAGAAGAGAAGAUUUUUCAAGAGAAGAUUCUGCGCACCUCUCUAUUGAAAAUGGAGCAUGAAAAAAUAAAAUUCAACAGGCUUAAGUGAUGGUGGAGCCACUGCAUGAAUUUCACUCUAUUAUUGAAUGAAGAAAGCCGAGGCUGGUGAUACUGAGAAAGCGUGAGAGAGAAAAAAAGAUAUCACAGUGACAGCACACUCCUGCAGCGGUCCAUCUGAAAGCAAGCAAAGCAAUCCCUGAAGGGGGCUGAGAACUGAGAGCUACCAGUAGGCAGCCCUCCUGGUAACCUGCAACAAGUUCUUCAUUUCUGAAGGAGGAUAUGGGCAGCACAUCACAGUAUCCACCACAGCUUCAUGCAACCAAUGUUGGAGGGCACUAAGACAAUUUACCUAGAUCCAAUAAACAGGAAAUUCAAGCUACCUGGGGCAGAAAUGUACCCCUGCCCCGCCUCAACAGUUCACUUGUAAUGA